rnacentral:rRNA from 1 species
AACGUAGGAGACAAACGUUAUCCGGAGUUACUGGGCGUAAAGGGCGUGUAGGUGGUAGUGUAAGUCUGGCGUGAAAUUUUUCGGCUUAACCGGGAAAGGUCGUCGGAUACUGCACAACUAGAGGACGGUAGAGGCGUGUGGAAUUCCGGGUGUAGUGGUGAAAUGCGUGGAGAUCCGGAGGAACACCAGUGGCGAAGGCGACACGCUGGGCCGUACCUGACACUGAUGCGCGACAGCAUGGGGAGCAAACAGG